UUCCCGGGCCUUGUACACACCGCCCGUCACACCAUGAGAGUUGGAAAUACCCGAAGCCUGUGAGCUAACUUAAAGAGGCAGCAGUCGAAGGUAGAGCCAAUGAUUGGGGUGAAGUCGUAACAAGGUAGC
rnacentral:rRNA from 1 species